ACAAGAGGUCACCUUAGGAGCCUCGUCGUGGAGCGAAAUCUGUGCCGAACACUUGAUGCCCAUUAAGGAAAAUGACCCGAAACUCAGAAAUAAGGGAAAGUGGUGAGUGCCUGCCUCGACGGAGAAGCAUCUGGAAGCCCUACCCGAGGGCCAUCCAGUUCCUUAUGAAGGUCCCUUCGUUGGACAUUUUGUUGCUGCACUGAGACAAAACUAAUGCAGGAUGUGGAACUGGGGAGGAAGGUCAUUCUUCAAGCCGAUACGGAGACAAGGAGACAAGAAUAACAGAAUUUGUUUCUCUACUCAGUUUCACCUGUCAAGAUGACUGUUUGGAAAACCAGUAGUAAAAACAAGAAGACUUUGGUGUUGGAGAGAUGGCUCAGUGGUUUAGAGCUCUUGUUGCAGUGACCCAGUUUCGAUUCCCAGCAUGCACGGGCUGGCUCACAAUCAUCUAUUACUCCAGUUCCAGAGGAUCCAAUACCCUCUCUGCCUUCCUUGGACACCAGGUGUGCAUACAUAUACUAUGCAGGCAAAACCUUCAUACACAUAAAAUGAAGUAAAUAUAUAUUAUAUAUAAAUAUAUUUAUUUAAUCUAUGUUAUAUACAAAUAAAUAUAUAUUAAAAUG